rnacentral:lncRNA from 1 species
CCCCACUGCGGUGGCCAUCAAUGCCGUUAUUCCUUUCUCUACAUUAGACCUGAGAGAGAAACUCCUCCAAAGCCGACGAAGAAAGGGGAAUUAAACUAAUGCCCAAGUACAUGCUCAGCCUUAGCUAGCACUGUUUAGCAUUGCUGCAAGAGUAUAUGACAUGAUCAUAGUCUUCUACUUGAUCUCACAGUGUUGCGAAUCAUUCCUA